ensembl:lncRNA
AAAGAAGAAGAAUAAGAUCUAGAGCUGAUUUGCAACCCGCCGAAGCAGAUCUGGAGAAGAAGGAAAAUGUCUCCUGUCUCCACACGCACCGUUCUAGGAUCAGCUGGCCGUUAGGAAAACGCAAACAGCAAAGUGGUGAGUCGGAAAACCCUCACUAGUUGCACUGCAGUGAAGGUUAGCGCGAAAAUGUUGUGCAACCAGUUCUGAGUGUGUUGUAUCAUAAUUUCGUUUGGGCCUUAUGAAAGGCGCUACCUUCCCCCUUUGAGGCCUAGCCAGCCCUGUUUAGGUUUAGACGAAAAUAGCGAAUAUUAACGGUUUACUUUUCACUAAACAGAAUUGCGACUGUGGUUCAGGUAACUUGCAACGGUAGCAGUUACUGUGUACUUCUAACAAACUUUAUUGGGCCCAAUCUAUCAUCUGAGUAGCUAGCUACAUGCUUUUAAUGAAUGCACUGUGUUGGAUUUACAUAGGAAGCAGGUGUCCUUGCCAAAUAGAAGAUACCUAGCUUGCUAGCGACGUCCGGCCCGGAGCGCCUCCGGUGUGCGCGUGGGUGACCAACAGAGGGCGAGUUAGAAUGUGACGUCAAAACUCCUAAUGUUGUUUUUUGCAUGACGACAAAGCGUUCUUAUUACGAGCCCACAAUAUGUCAUACAAAUGUUAUAGACAUUCAUUAUUUACCAGAAUAGAAUCUUAAAUAUAAGUAAUAUACAUUGCUGAAUUGGAGAGGGUGGGAAAGAGGAUAAAUAUCUGCGACUGGUGGGAAUUAUUUAUUUAAUUGGUAGUCGAGUACCUCAACUCCAUGAUGAUUCACGAGUUGGGCACAGACUAGAGUUUUAGAAACGAACCUCCGGCUCGCUAUGCAGUCGAUACCUCGAAAGUGAAAAUUCUCAAACCCUUGUUAUGUACCUAUGUUUCUCAUCUGCGUGCCUUUGUUUGCUGAAGUCCAUGCUUUUUAAUAAAACGUUAUUCAAAAACAACCACCGACUGUUUUCUCAUUGCUGUUCCUCUAAGAGGGUAACUCGCCAAUUGAAAAUCAACAAGGAAACAGUCGGUCGUUGUAUUUUAUUAACGUUUUAUUCAAAUGUAUGGAUUUCAGCAAACAAAAAAUGGCGGGCUAAUGUAAGGGUUUAAGAAUUCACAUUUUUGAAGCAUCGACUGCAUAGCGACUCGAUGAGAUAAGAGAUUCAUAAAAACAACAACCCUAGUCUGGAUGUGAGACUUUACCCAUAACUGACCUUAGAGCAGUGUGUAAGCUCAUUCUCAUCCUACCCCGGACGUUGCAAACAAAUAUAGAAAGGUUCAGGAGAAACUCUUCCUCACUCCAAAACAGUCACCCAGGAAUUGAAGAGGAAGUGACAUCAGAGCAGAUGGAAUCAAAUCAGAGCCUGGCGGGGGUGGACUCCCAGGGCAACAUGGUGUUCAGAGUGGUUAAACCUGUCAUGGGCAUCUUCCAAGUCUCCUCAGAACAGACCAACUCUGUCGGACAGGGGGGGUCGCAGCAGAUGAUGGUUGGGGGGCUGACGGGGUUACAAGGGUUAUCCAACCUCCCCUCCAUGGUGCUGGGGGAUGGACAGGGUCAGGGCCAGCAGCAAAUGGGGGACGUGAACCAGAUGCAAGCCCAGAUUCAGAUCCCAGCAGAGGACAUGUCCCAAACCCAGGUUGCCGCUCCGAACCACAACCACGUACCCCAUGUUCCGUUUGCAGAGGUGUCGUCUCUCUUGGACCCCAACAUGAAGAGUUCCAAGGCCCGCAAGUACCUGAUACCCUAUGACGAGAUCAAGCGUCGUCUGGAGGCUCCAGAGAAGAUGUCUCUGCGUUCACUAGCAGCCUACACCAGGGUCAGCCGUGGCCCGGCCAGCAAGAAAACCCUGCAGGAGUCUCUAAAUAUACUGGGUCUUACUCCUGGUACUACUACUUCUGUGUCUUCUUCCUUUUCCAAGCUCACAGAGGGUGACACCAAAGCCCUGUGUAACGACAUGAAGGACUUUGCCCAUGACUACAUAGACUUUGGCAACAUGGCCAAGCAGCUUAUUCCAGAGACCAACACUGUCCAACACUGGUCCAAGGUCAUAGAAACCAGGAGCCACCUGGAGGCGAUGAGGAAGUGUUUUCGUGACCCGGUCAACAGUGCGUCGUUCGACAACGUGACUCAUGGGUUGGGCCUCGGGAUGCUCGACGCCGCCCUCGACAUGAUUACCAUGGUGAUCGACAAACAAAUUCGCAUCCUGUCUGGCGCUGCGGCAACCGAUCCCGUCGACACCGGCCCUCCAAUGAGACGCAUCCGCCGCCGCCACCGCAAGCCCCGAGACAACGGCAACGACAAAUUGCACGGGUCGCUGGGCGGGGUUAAAGGUCAAGAGAAAGGGCCAGGGAAGGGCAAAGGGAGGGGCAGAGGCAGGAAGAAGAUGCGGCUGCAGGAGUCUGGAGCUCCGGUUGGUGUUGCCAUGGAUACAACCCAGCAGCAUGAUCAAGAGCAUUGUCAGCCGGAGGAUGUGGAGAGCAGUGUUCUCACACUCGUCUCUGUUGGUUACGAGACCAUCUCCAGCGGCCUCAAUGCCACAGGACAGAUCUGAAGAUGUUUAACGGUUGAACAAACAAUGCUUAACAGGGGAAUCGGACUUUGCUUAAUAUUUUCCCAUGGGGAAGCUGGGAGCGGAACUGUCUUAGUAACUUUGUGGAACAUUGUGGAACGUUGUGAUGUUUAGACGCAACUCUGCUUUGGCCCACAGAACCCCAAACACUGAGAGGGAGGCAUUCAGUGACCUCACAGCAUUCUGGUUUAGAGUUUUGUUUUUGAAUGUUGCAGCUCUUGCCUACUGAUAAAUUCAAUCAAUUGAAUUUAGUUUUUUGUUGUCAGUUAGCACAGAGGUGAAGAACGCAGCUCUGUUCAAGUGGAAUUCAAGUCAAUCCAAAGAUAACCUGAUUAUAUUGAAAAACCUACAAUGUAGAAAUGAGUCUUAAUUCUGGUCUUUGGGUUAAGGCAGUCCAUUCAUUCCACCUACUCAUCUGGUAUUUGAUAGCCCCGUUUAUUUAUAUCAUGAGUGGACUAGUUAUAGCCCUCUCUCAAUCUCCAUGAUUGUAACAUAGGGAACACAUCAUGCCAGUACUUUGUCAAUGAUUGUAUGUUUAUAUUGAAACCUGGAUUGCUGAAAUAUUGUAUUAAAGCUUUCAUUUUAUUAAUUCACCUCCAUGAUGUUCUUUAUUUCUGACAGAAUCAAUGGCACAGCAUCUGAUCUGUUUCACUGAGGGAGUUUGACUAAGCUGAACCGGGGUGGCCUGUGACGUGACCGGGAAAAAGCGAUAAAUUGAAUAGUAAUCUGUGCCGCCCGGUCAACAAGGCAGCAUCAUUCAGAAACAUGGUGCAUCUUUUCAAAUUCAUUUUCUUUGAGAAGGCAGAUAAAGUACAUCAUGUGUUUUAUCACGAGAGCAAAAAUGUUUUUCACGUGAUACCUUGGAACCUUCAUAACUGCACGUGCUUGACAUACGGGCCAGCCGGUGUUAUGAUACUGGUGGAUUGUACGGUUGUGGCUACCAGUACUGCUCCAUCUUGGGGCGGCAGGGUAGCCUAGUGGUUAGAGGGUUGGACUAGUAACCGAAAGGUUGCAAGUUCGGAUCCCCGAGCUGACAAGGUACAAAUCUGUCAUUCUGCCCCUGAACAGGCAGUUAACCCACUGUUCCUAGGCUGUCAUGGGAAAUAAGAAUUUGUUCUUAA